UACGUAGGGGCAAGCGUUGUCCGGAAUCAUUGGGCGUAAAGAGCGCGUAGGCGGUCCGGUAAGUCGGUUGUGAAAACUGGGGGCUCAACCCUCAGAGGCCGACCGAUACUGCCGGGCUAGAGUCCGGAAGAGGCGAGUGGAAUUCCUGGUGUAGCGGUGAAAUGCGCAGAUAUCAGGAGGAACACCAAUGGCGAAGGCGGCUCUCUGGGACGGUACUGACGCUGAGACGCGAAAGCGUGGGGAGCGAAACGGG
rnacentral:rRNA from 1 species